UACAGAGGGUGCAAGCGUUAAUCGGAAUUACUGGGCGUAAGGCGUGCGUAGGCGGACACCUAAGUCGAUUGUGAAAUCCCCGGGCUUAACCUGGGAACUGCAGUCGAUACUGAGUGUCUUGAGUAUGGUAGAGGAAAGUGGAAUUCCCGGUGUAGCGGUGAAAUGCGUAGAUAUCGGGAAGAACACCAGUGGCGAAGGCGGCUUUCUGGACCAAUACUGACGCUGAGGUACGAAAGCGUGGGGAGCAAACAGG
rnacentral:rRNA from 1 species